rnacentral:piRNA from 1 species
UUCCAAGAGGCACUUGGACCCUUUGCGU